GGUCUGCAACCCGACCCCACCGAAGCUGGAUUCGCUAGUAAUCGCGCAUCAGCCAUGGCGCGGUGAAUACGUUCCCGGGCCUUGUACACACCGCCCGUCAAGCCAUGAAAGCCGGGGGCGCCUGAAGUCCGUGACCGCGAGGGUCGGCCUAGGGUGAAACCGGUGAUUGGGGCUAAGUCGUAACAAGGUAGC
rnacentral:rRNA from 1 species